AGUGAACGCUGGCGGUAGGCCUAACACAUGCAAGUCGAACGGCAGCACAGUAAGAGCUUGCUCUUACGGGUGGCGAGUGGCGGACGGGUGAGGAAUACAUCGGAAUCUACUUUUUCGUGGGGGAUAACGUAGGGAAACUUACGCUAAUACCGCAUACGACCUACGGGUGAAAGCAGGGGAUCUUCGGACCUUGCGCGAUUGAAUGAGCCGAUGUCGGAUUAGCUAGUUGGCGGGGUAAAGGCCCACCAAGGCGACGAUCCGUAGCUGGUCUGAGAGGAUGAUCGGCCACACUGAAACGGAGACACGGUCCAGACCCCUACGGGAGGCAGCAGGGGGGAAUAUUGGACAAGGGGCGCAAGCCUGAUCCAGCCAUACCGGGUGGGUGAAGAAGGCCUUCGGGUGGUAAAGCCCUUUUGCUGGGAAAAAAAAGCAGCAGGUUAAAACCCCGCUGUUCUGACGGUACCCAAAGAAUAAGCACCGGCUAAUUUCGU
rnacentral:rRNA from 1 species